rnacentral:lncRNA from 1 species
GAUUAGUCCUUUCUGGUGCACGUGGGUGCUAAUCACAGCUCUGUGGCCUCUCGAGGGGCUGAGGAAAACAGGGUCUUGUAGCUCUGCUGCCUGGGAGGGGAUCUCUGCUCAGGACACAGGGCUUUUCUGUCAGGAAGAAGAGGUAUAGUAUGAGUCCAAUACUGAGCAACAAAGCUGUUUGUUAAAGUAAUCUCCGCACCCUGGAAUUGUACUUUUCCAGGAGUGACUGUGGCUGGGUGCAGAAGGAACACUUGCUGUUUGCCUGUAUGUAUCUGUACCCCCAAGUGGGACAACUGAGGAACUCAGAAACAAUGGCACUGGGACGGUGCUGGGAUGUCUGAGCCUGAUUCCUUACGUCCAUUCCCUCACUCACUCAGAGGUCUCUCAUUAUUGUGGUUUUUGAAACUGCUUGGGAAAUCCGAACUGAGAGGAACAGAACCUACAGCGUUUCUCUUAAGCAAAGUUUGA